CAGCCGCGGUAACACGGCAGCUCUAGUGGUAGCAAUUUUAUUGGGCCUAAAGCGUCCGUAGCCGGUUUAAUAAGUCUCUGGUGAAAUCCUGCAGCUUAACUGUGGGAAUUGCUGGAGAUACUAUUAGACUUGAGACCGGGAGAGGUUAGAGGUACUCCCAGGGUAGAGGUGAAAUUCUGUAAUCCUGGGAGGACCGCCUGUUGCGAAGGCGUCUAACUGGAACGGUUCUGACGGUGAGGGACGAAAGUUAGGGGCGCGAACCGGAUUAGAUACCCGGGUAGUCCUAACUGUAGACGAUGCGGACUUGGUGUUGGGGUGGCUUUGAGCUGCUUCAGUGCCGAAGGGAAGCUGUUAAGUCCGCCGCCUGGGAAGUACGGUCGCAAGACUGAAACUUAAGGAAUUGGCGGGGGAGCACCACAACGCGUGGAGCCUGCCGGUUUAAUUGGAUUCAACGCCGGACAUCUCACCAGAGGCGACAGCUGUAUGAUAGCCAGGUUGAUGACUUUGCUUGACUAGCUGAGGAGUGGUGCAUGG
rnacentral:rRNA from 1 species